AUGUAAGGGAUCCCUUCCCUAAAACAGAUGCUUUUGAAUUACCUUUGAGAGAGAGAGAAAAAAAAAAAAAAAAAAACCAGCCCAGAUUAUUUCACACUUCAAACAGAAAUAUGAAUCACGCCAGCAUUGUAAAGAAGGUUCGUUCACUUUUUGGAUGCUUAACUCUAUCAAAUCCAUUAAUUAAACAUUUAUUGAGCACCUAAGACAAUGAGCUUCCCUUAGAGAGAGGGAAACGGGUGACUGGCUCCUUUUGAUUAGGUCUCUUAAAUUAAUGUAAAAUUGUAACUGUUAACCCUAUUUUAAGAGAAGCAGAAACGGUGGAAAACAAGCUGUGAAACUAGGGUGUGGUCUCUGUUGGACUCUACAUCCAAAUCCCCUCGGAAGGCUCCCCACCCAGCGGAAAGGUAAGAAUAACAUUCUGUGCAUUUAAAAACAAUCAAUCCCAACUCUCUAAGAAGGCUUGUUAAGAAUGUUUCUUAUGAGAAUGUAAAAACACUGGACAGUAGUCAGGACCAGCUUCUCAUUCAGCAGUUCAUCAAGUGGGCUAUUUAUGGAUUGGGACUUCUGAUUUGUAAUACAUCGUCUCAGGGUUCGGUGUUAUCUUUUGAUUUCUUUCCAGCUGAACAGGCUAAGUAGUUGUAAAUACCUCUUGUCAGACUACAUGGUUGGCUAUUCCCGCACACAGAAGUAAUCUAGGAACCCACUGGGCAAGUUCGGCGGAAAGCCGCUGUGGAAGCCUGCAGCUGAUGUACACUGCAGAGCGAGGGAGGGGCGGUGAAGGUGGCGGGAGGCAGUGGCCAUGGUGGUUGCUGUGGCCUGGUCACUUCAGUUAUGUCGGGAACACCCUACAUGUUUGGAGGUAUGUGUUCUCGAGGCCUUCACUGGUUUGCCAUACUGACAAAGUAUAUUUUAAUGGCUACCGUGCAAAGUGUGAAGGAGAAGCAAUGGAGACUUCAUCCAUGAUAUGCAAAGAACAUGAAGGUGGACAAGCAACUUUCUUAGUCACUACCUGUUCCUUUCUCCGCGGAGAGGUACCACAUGUUUGCCACACCAUUUCCCAUGCAGCGAUGGACAUGCAUUUUACUCCAUCUUUUUCUUUUGUUUGUACUAAAGCUUUUUCUUCAUAAUCUGUUUUCAAAUCUGUUCAUAUUUUGAAUGUACAAUUGUAGAAUUUGAGUUAGGGGAAAAAGAAAAAGAAGUAAAGGUCAUAUUGAUUUUCUUUUAAAAAGAGGAGAAAGAACUGGCCAAUUUCAUAAUAAAAAUGAGGAAAGUGGACAAGUAUGAAAUAUACACAUCUCCACUGGGAAUUUCUAGUCAUUUUCAUGUCAGCUGACUGUGUCAUUCUACCAAAUGGAACUCACUGAAAUCAUAUAGUUCUAUAAUUAUAAAAUUGAUUUGGGAAAAGAAAAAAAGUGCUUUAAUUUCUGUUGCUUCAAGGGAUUAUCCAUUCAAAACAUUUUUCUGUCCACUAUAAAUUGUAUUGGAAACUAAGCUAUAAGAAAUAAAGAUAGUAAAUGUCUAACACAAA